rnacentral:rRNA from 1 species
GAGGGAAAGUUGCAAAGAACUUUGAAGAGAGAGUUCAAGAGGGCGUGAAACCGCUGAGAAGGAAACGGAUAGAGUUGACGAAACACAGCGGCAUUCAUCCGACCUGUCCUGGCAACUGGCUGCCCGGUAUAGAUCGUUCUCCUCGGGGAAUGACGGUCUGGCUGUCAGCUUAGUCGGCUGGUUGGUGCUUUUGCCGUUGGUAUGCGCGGAGACGUUCGCUGUGGCGUGUCGACGUCGAUGUCAGAGGACCAGUGCCAAAUGGUACUGGAAACCUGACUCGGCUUAGGUAUGUUCGCGGUGAAACGGUAACCACAUACGCCGCUUGCUAGUUGCGUAGCUGCCUCUGCAUAGUUGGGUGCGUUGUUGGGCGAUCGCGUGCGAUUUGUCUACAGCUGUAUUCCGGCUUGUUUCUGGCUAGUUACGUUGGCGGUGUAUCUCCGUGUAAAAGUCAGCCACCUAUCCGACCCGUCUUGAAACACGGACCAAGGAGUUUAGCAUAUGCGCAAGUCAUUGGGUGGUAAACCUAAAGGCGUAAUGAAAGUAAAGACUGCUUCGAGCGGUUGAUAUGGGAUCUGUGCUUGCUUGCAGGCGCAGCGCACCAUAGCCCCGUUCUUGUUGCUUGCAAUAGGGCGGAGGUAGAGCGUAUACGCUGAGACCCGAAAGAUGGUGAACUAUGCCUGAGCAGGAUGAAGCCAGAGGAAACUCUGGUGGAAGUCCGAAGCGGUUCUGACGUGCAAAUCGAUCGUCUGACUUGGGUAUAGGGCGAAAGACAAAUCGAACCAUCUA